GGAUUGUGGCUCAGAGGUAGAGCACUCGCCUGCCGUGAGUGAGGAACUGGGUUCAAUCCCCAGCACCA
rnacentral:tRNA from 1 species